GAUGAACGCUGGCGGUGUGCCUAAUACAUGCAAGUCGAGCGAACAGACGAGGAGCUUGCUCCUCUGACGUUAGCGGCGGACGGGUGAGUAACACGUGGAUAACCUACCUAUAAGACUGGGAUAACUUCGGGAAACCGGAGCUAAUACCGGCUAAUACAUUGAACCGCAUGGUUCAAUAGUGAAAGACGGUUUUGCUGUCACUUAUAGAUGGAUCCGCGCUGCAUUAGCUAGUUGGUAAGGUAACGGCUUACCAAGGCGACGAUGCGUAGCCGACCUGAGAGUGUGAUCGGCGACACUGGAACUGAGACACGGUCCAGACUCCUACGGGAGGCAGCAGUGGGGAAUCUUCCGCAAUGGGCGAAAGCCUGACGGAGCAACGCCGCGUGAGUGAUGAAGGUCUUCGGAUCGUAAAACUCUGUUAUUAGGGAAGAACAAAUGUGUAAGUAACUAUGCACGUCUUGACGGUACCUAAUGAGAAAGCCACGGCUAACUACGUG
rnacentral:rRNA from 1 species